rnacentral:rRNA from 1 species
CCUACGGGGGGCUGCAGUGGGGGAUAUUGCACAAUGGGGGGAACCCUGAUGCAGCGACGCCGCGGGGGUGAAGGAGUGCUUCGGCAUGUAAAGCCCUAUCGGCAGGGAAGAAGCAAGACGGUACCUGACUAAGAAGCACCGGCGAACUACGUGCCAGCAGCCGCGGUAAAACGUAGGGGGCGAGCGUUAACCGGAUUCACUGGGUGGAAAGGGAGCGUAGACGGCCAUGCAGGGCAGGGGGGAAAGCCCGGGGCCCAACCCCGGGACUGCCCUUGGAACUGUGCGGCUAGAGUGCGGGAGGGGCAGGCGGAAUUCCUGGUGUAGCGGUGAAAUGCGUAGAUAUCAGGAGGAACACCGGCGGCGAAGGCGGCCUGCUGGACUGCGACUGACGUUGAGGCUCGAAAGCGUGGGGAGCGAACAGGAUUAGAUACCCGAGUAGUC